UAUAGGAUAAUUCUUUAACCUAUUGUUUUUGUUUUAAUUGUCAUUUUUGGCUUGGGGCAAAGCCCCUCGGCUAUAGUAGUGUACUGAUACCGAUUUCUGAGAUAAGCUGACUUGGCUGGCUGCCAAAACCAAAUUAUAAUAAGUGCGUGCGCAAUAAAAUUAGUUCUUUGCAGAUCACAAUAACCCGGCUUGUACAUGUAAAUACAGAACAUCACUAUAUAACAUGACAGUGUCAUACAAAGUGUAAAAAAAAUAUUAUUGAAUCAAAAAUGUUAAGCAUUGGCUACAACAUAGUUUUAAUUAUCCCCCGCCAGAGGCGGAGGGAUAUUGUUUUGGCGUUGUCCGUCCGUCCGGCUGUCCGUCCGUCCGGCACUUUUGUGUCCGGAGCCAUAUCUUGGAAGUGCUUUGGCGGAUUUCAUUGAAACUUCGUAUGAGUAUAUAUAUGCAUAAGAGGAUGAUGCACGCCAAAUGGCAUUGUACACCAUCUGUUAAAAACAGAGUUAUGGCCCUUUGUAUCUUGAAAAAAUGCUUUUUACUAUAGGCACUUUUGUGUCCUGAGCCAUAUCUUGGAAGUGCUUUGGCGGAUUUCAUUGAAACUUGGUAUGAAUGUAUAUUUGCAUAAGAGGAUGAUGCACGCCAAAUGGCAUUGUACACCAUCGGUUAAAAACAGAGUUAUGGCCCUUUGUAUCUUGAAAAAAUGCUUUUUACUAUAGGCACUUUUGUGUCCGGAGCCAUAUCUUGGAAGUGCUUUGGCGGAUUUCAUUGAAACUUGGUAUGAGUAUAUAUAUGCAUAGGAGGAUGAUGCACGCCAAAUGGCAUUGUACAUUAUCUGUUAAAACAGAGUUAUGGCCCUUUGUAUCUUGAAAAAUUGCUUUUUACUAUAGGCACUUAUGUGUUCGGAGCACAUAACUUGGUAUGAGUAUAUAUAUUGAUAAUAGGAUGAUGCACGCCAAAUGGCAUUGUACACCAUUUGAUACUAACAAAGUUAUGGCCCUUUGUAUCUUCAAAAAAUGCUUUUUUAGUGUCAAAUAUAACACUUUUCUGUCCAGAAGUAUAUAGGCGGGGGAUAUCAAUUCAAUGAAUUUGCUUGUUGUUUACAUAUUCAUGCGAGAAUAAGUUCCUCACUGUACGGUCUCAAACUACCGUUUCGCGGAGUUUGUCAAAACAAGAACAACUUGUUUGCCAUUAAUAAUAGUUUUACUGUAAUACAUGUAAAAAAAUUAUUGAAUCAAAUUUGUUAAGCAUUGGCUACGACAUAGUUUUUAUUGUUUACAUAUUCAUGCGAGAAUAAGUUGCUCACUUGACGGUCUCUAACUACCGUUUCGCGGACUUUGUCAAAACAAUAACAACUUGUUUGCCAUUAACUUUGAACUAUAAUCUAAACUAAUAAAAAUAAGUCAGUGGAACUUAAAUUUUCAUUAUUUUCUCUCGAUUUUUACAUGGUUUAAAUUAACCUCAGCUUAAAUAACAAUGAAUACAGUGAGUAGGGCACAGUCUACAGUGACCAUUUUCGGAUAAACUUCCUGGUUUUUGUCAAAGACUGUGAACUGGGCAAGGUUGUAGUAAAAACUAAUCAAAUUAAUGUUGCAAAUCUUUGUGCCAAAUCCACCUCAUGAAAAACAGAUUGGGCACAAGUGGAGUGCGAACACUAAAUGAUGUUCUACUAAAUAGCAGAUCUUUACAAGUGAAUUUGGCAAAUCCUGAUGCAACCUGAGCUUACCAAGUUUACUGACAGUUUGGACUCUGUGUGGAUGAUAAUAUGGACAAUAUAUUGUGUUCAUGUUGUGUUGUGAUUGACAUUUUUUAACAGAUAAGAUUUUUUAAUCCAGACUUAACAGGUGAUUUUUCUUCAAAGAAUAAAUACAAUACUUUUUUAUUGAUGUGCAUGAAUUUUAGUACAAAAUAUCAACAAUGUGUAUCUUGUGUUGUUUUUCCAAUCAGUCUGUCAUCCAUAGGUAAUAUAUUAAGUAUGAGAAGGGAAUAAUUUUUUUUGUUGUUUCUGCACACCAUGUCAGAUACAUGAAAAUAUAUUUAUGCCCCCAACAAGCGGUAUAUAGUUUUUGCACUGUCCGUCUGUCAGUCUGUCUGCCUUCCGUAACACUUUUCGUGUUCACUCUCUAAUUCAAGAAGUUCUAAUCCGAUCUCCAAACUUGGUCAGAAGUUGCAUCCGGAUAACGUCUAGGUCAAGACGAACAUGGGUCAUGCCGGGCAAAAAACUGUUUCAUAGGGUCACUUAGUGCGUUUCAAACAUUCAGCAUGGUGUCCGCUCUCUAAUUCAAGUAGUUUUCAUCCGAUCUUUCCCAAACUCUGUCAGAAGUUGUAUCUACAUUAUGUCUACGCCAAGUGUGAACAUGGGGCAUGCCGGGCAUAAAACUAGUUCACUGGGUCACUUAGUGCGUUUUAAACAUUCAGCUUGGUGUCCGCUCUCUAAUUUAAGUAGUUUUUAUCUGAUCUUCACCAAACUUGUUCACAAGUUGUAUCUAGAUGGUCUCUAGGCCAAGUUCGCACAUGCAUGCAAAGAAUUGGCAGAAGAAAAACAUCUACAAACUGCAACAGAUGACAUAUGUAACAAACAAAAUUUAAAUAUUGAACACCUGUUAUGUAGCAAACUAAUAGUUAAAUAAAAUAAAGGCGAUGUAUAUCUCAAAAACAUUUACACACUUAUGCUUUUAUGUAGUGACAAAGUUACAGUUGGGGGCAUCCGUGUCGUGUAAACACAUUUGUUUGAUUAAUGAUAAACAAAUCAUUCAUAGUGAUCUAACUAUAAAAUAUUCUUUACAAGAUAAGAAAUACAUUGUAUUGUAUGCCUGCUAAUAUUGUGGUCUUAAAAUAAUAUCACUAAUACUGUUGUAGUUCAUUUAAACAUCAAGAUAUGUGAUGUUAAUGUAUGUGUUCAUGUUAUGUUUGUAUUUGAUUUAUUUUUACAUGUAAAUGAAUAUUUUGGUGUUUAAAGUUCAAUCUAUAGUGAGUUAAUAAGUGACGUGUGCCAUUAAAUAUGUAGUGCUUUAUAAUAUUGCUUUAAUUUUGUUUUAGUUGAAAAUCAUGUUUUUGAAUCUCUACGUAUGAAAUGCACUAGUGAAUUUGGUUUGACACUUAUGCGAAGAUUAAUAAUAUAUUAACUUCAAAUACAUUGUUGAUCACAAACAGCAUGUAUAUGCAAUCCACAAAUUACUGUUUCCAUAGCAACUGUUAACUUAAUGUUUUUUGUCUACUUAAUUUUAUCAAUCAUGAAACAAAAUUGAAUUGCUAAAUAAACAAAAUAAUGUCUGGCAGUACAGACACACAACACAAAUUGUAACAUGAGGAGUUAUUCGUUUUAGUUUUAAGUUCAUAGCUGUACAAAAUGUUCAAUUUCUGAAUACACACCUUUUUCCAGAAAAUGUGCAUAUAAUUAUGUAUAUAUUAAACAUGUUAAUGAUGUUCCAUAUCUGUCCAGAACAUAUUUUGUUGAUUUUCUGUGCUUUUUUUUUCUUAAAUUCUUCAAAAUAGUAAUAAAUAUGAAAACAUAA